rnacentral:lncRNA from 1 species
ACACCAUAUGAAAUGCUGAAAUGUAAUCUUUGGAUAACCCUGACGACAUUAUGAAUUGACCACAAACAUAGUAAUAAGAGGUUUUGUUGUAUGCAUUCAGAAUCCGAAGGAUAGAGCCAUCCUCUGUUGUGAAGCAGUGGCCUUUGUUCAUCAGUGUCUGUGUUAUGGCGGAUUCAUGAGUUUGAUGAGGAGUAAACUCCAGGAGUCGUCAAUGGACAGGGAGGCCUGGCCUGCUGCAGUCCAUGGGGUCGCAAAGAGUCAGGUACAACUGAACAACUGAACUGAACUGAAAGCAGAAGCUCUGAUGAAGUGAACUUUAACCCUACCACAAGUGAAAAUUUCACUUAUUUUUAUAUUUUUUAG